rnacentral:tRNA from 1 species
GGUAAGAUGUCUGAAUUUAGGUGAUAGACUGUAAAUCUAUUUAUGGAAAUUUUCCUCUUACCA